rnacentral:rRNA from 1 species
UACGGAGGGUGCAAGCGUUAUCCGGAUUCACUGGGUUUAAAGGGUGCGUAGGUGGGCUGGUAAGUCAGUGGUGAAAUCUCCGGGCUUAACUCGGAACGGUCAACUGAUACUGCUCGGCUAGAGUGCGGAAGGGGCAACUGGAAUUCUUGGUGUAGCGGUGAAAUGCGUAGAUAUCAAGAGGAACACCUGAGGUGAAGACGGGUUGCUGGGCCGACACUGACGCUGAUAGCGCGAAAGCCAGGGGAGCAAACGGG